AAAAGGCGCUUCCAGCCCGCGGCGCCUGCGCAGAAGGCUCUAGACGCUGAGAGGCAGGAGGCACUUGGGAUCGUCCGCAGCGUUUGGAACUGUUACAGAGGCCGCCACGGAGCCCGCCGGAGCCCCCGUUCCUGCUGGUGCUGCCGCCGCCCGAAUCGGGACCGUCGGGCUGCAGCCGCCGGCAAUGCCGCGAAGGAAGAGAAAUGCAGGCAGUAGUUCAGAUGGAACCGAAGAUUCCGAUUUUUCUACAGAUCUCGAGCAUACAGACAGUUCAGAGAGUGACGGCACAUCGCGCCGAUCUGCCCGAGUCACCCGCUCUUCAGCCAGGCUAAGCCAGAGUUCUCAAGAUUCCAGCCCUGUUCGAAAUUUGCCAUCUUUCGGCACUGAGGAACCCGCCUAUUCUACCAGAAGAGUGACUCGGAGUCAGCAGCAGCCCACACCAGUGACUCCAAAAAAGUACCCCCUCCGGCAGACUCGCUCCUCGGGCUCUGAAACGGAACAGGCGGUUGAUUUUUCAGAUAGAGAAACUAAAAAUACAGCUGAUCAUGAUGAGUCGCCACCUCGAACUCCGACUGGAAAUGCACCUUCUUCUGAGUCUGACAUAGACAUCUCCAGUCCCAAUGUGUCUCAUGAUGAGAGCAUUGCCAAGGACAUGUCCCUGAAGGACUCAGGCAGUGAUCUCUCUCACCGCCCCAAGCGUCGUCGAUUUCACGAAAGCUACAAUUUCAACAUGAAGUGCCCUACGCCGGGCUGCAACUCUCUAGGACAUCUUACAGGAAAGCACGAGAGACAUUUCUCCAUCUCAGGAUGCCCGCUGUAUCAUAACCUCUCGGCUGACGAGUGCAAGGGGAGAAGUUAAGGCUUCAAGGCCAAAUCACAGAGGGAAGCAACAUGAUUAAAACAAUUGCUUUUGGCCGCUACGAGCUGGAUACUUGGUACCAUUCUCCCUAUCCUGAAGAAUAUGCACGACUGGGACGUCUCUACAUGUGUGAAUUCUGCUUAAAAUACAUGAAGAGCCAAACGAUUCUCCGCCGACACAUGGCCAAGUGUGUGUGGAAACACCCCCCUGGUGAUGAGAUUUAUCGCAAAGGCUCCAUCUCUGUGUUUGAAGUAGAUGGCAAGAAAAACAAGAUCUACUGCCAAAACCUCUGCCUUUUGGCGAAGCUUUUUCUGGACCAUAAGACCUUAUACUACGAUGUAGAGCCCUUCCUGUUCUACGUUAUGACAGAAGCAGACAAUACUGGCUGCCACCUGAUUGGAUAUUUUUCUAAGGAGAAGAAUUCAUUUCUCAACUACAAUGUCUCCUGUAUUCUCACCAUGCCUCAGUACAUGAGACAGGGCUAUGGGAAGAUGCUCAUUGACUUCAGUUAUUUACUUUCCAAGGUAGAAGAGAAAGUUGGCUCUCCGGAACGCCCACUGUCAGACCUGGGGCUUAUAAGCUACCGCAGCUACUGGAAGGAAGUACUGCUCCGGUACCUGCACAACUUCCAGGGCAAGGAGAUCUCCAUCAAAGGACCUGAUAGAUGAAUGGAUCGCCAAAGAGGCCAAAAGGUCCAACUCCAACAAAACCAUGGAUCCAAGCUGCUUAAAAUGGACCCCUCCCAAGGGCACUUAAAGUGACCUGUCAUUCUGAGCCAGCGAGCCCCAGCAGUAGAAAUCCGUACCCUAGGGAUCUGUCUGUCAUUUCUGUUGCUCUUGUGAUUGGCAAGUAUAGUAUCCUCUGGGAAGGCCACCCCCUCAGCACUGUUCUGGCUCCAACCUGCGUGUACACUGCAGACACUGGUUCUGAGGAACUGUUGUUUCGGCCUCAGUGAGGUUGCCUGGAUGGAUCUGUAUUAGGCUCGAGUACAGAUCCCUCGUAGCACUGACCCAAGGAGUUGUGUUAUGGUACUGUACCUGUCCAGUCACUGGUCCCCUCUUCAUGCUCUUUAACCCCGUGAAGUUUGUUGUGUCCUGACCUUUGUGCUAGUGCUUUUUCCUGCCUGGUUACCAGACCUCCAAACAUGGUUGCCACCAAAGGGCCCUUUCCAGUUAGUCCUCACACAUUCUUCAUGAAGGGGUGGGCAAGAGGCAGUGCCUGUGAGUGUCUGUGUGUCUGCUGGGAGGGUCCGCUCACCCUGCAUUUCAUCUCACAGUCACUUAUUUUUCUCCCUUUUUGUCAAAAGACUUAACUUUGAUCAGGGUCAGGCUGACCCAGAGCUAGGAACGCCUGACAAUUCCCAGGGGUUCACAGGCCCUG
rnacentral:lncRNA from 1 species